rnacentral:rRNA from 1 species
UACGGGGGGGGCAAGCGUUGUUCGGAAUUACUGGGCGUAAAGGGCUCGUAGGUGGCCAACUAAGUCAGACGUGAAAUCCCUCGGCUUAACCGGGGAACUGCAUCUGAUACUGGAUGGCUUGAGAUUGGGAGAGGGAUGCGGAAUUCCGAGGUGUAGCGGUGAAAUGCGUAGAUAUCUGGAGGAACGCCUGCGGUGUAGACGGCUUUCUGGACCACUACUGACACUGAGGC